rnacentral:lncRNA from 10 species
CACAGAUUGUGUUUGCCCCAGGCUUUCGGCAUUCUGCCUGCACUGAAUAAAAGCAAGCAGCUCCAGCUUCUCGGGGCUGCACUUUGGCCACUUGAGCCAGGCAGUCUCCUAGCUGCUCUUACACACUGCAUAGCUGUGUGUGAGUACUCUUUUCAUCCAUCAGUCAGCCAGGGUCUGCAGGACAGAUCCGGCAAGUGGUGCCCUGUAUGAGGAAUGCUGCAACGGAUCUGGACUGAACCCUCAAAAAUAAAGUGACUGCUCAGUCCUCUUUGGAUUUCUGCGCGACAUAUGAAACCAUACCAUGGCAUGGCUGGAACCCAACCCGGUACCAAAAAUAAAGGAAAUGACCCUGCAGGACCUGCAGCCCCAAAACGAUGCGGCUUCCUCGGACGACACAGGCCCCGGACAUUAUGCUGAAGAAGACAACUCAGGAAGCUGAGCAAAUCCUGCUCCAGACACAAACACCAUUCACUCCAGAUAAUCUGUUCCUUGCUAUGCCCUCCGUUGUACAUUGCAACACUCGCAGGGUAUUGGUUUUUCUUAUUCUCUCACUCUGCCUGCAACUCGUACCUGCUACACUCUAUUAGGCCCAUCUUCUAGAUCCACCUUUCUUCCGCCCUGUUACUUGGGCAGACACCCCCUUCCCAGCUUCUACCAAUGUGACUGCUUGGGUAGGAGGGAUAAACAUACCCCUGGUGGGGUUCCUCAGUAACAGCCCUAUAGAACAAUGUGCAAAAUCACCUCUCCUGGAUAGACCCCCACUCCUGUGGGUCACUCUUUGAUUGGAAAUGAAUAUUACUGAUUAUACUCACGCUUGUCUUAUGUUACCUACUGCUUCUGGGAUGCAAAGCUGGAACACAAGCUGUAACCGCUGCACCUGUCAAGCUUGUCACUGCACACAUCUGUAUUCUUCAAUCAACAAAACCUGAUGCAAAAACAGAAAAGGGGGAGAUGUAGGAGAUCAGUCAGAGUGGUGAGAGAAACUGUAAGGAAAGGAGCAGGCCUUCUGAAGGGUCAGAAGGCUCUGCAUAGCUUCGGGGAAGAAUAGCUAAAGGCAGCUGUUCUCUAACCCUGAAGCAGAGGGUGAGGAGUAUGUGCAAGGGGGUGAAGGUGAAAUUAUCUUGAUCAGGUUUGUUCGUUUGAAGUUGUCCAGGAAUUGAACUUUGAACAUCCGUGUGACUGACGUCCCCUGAAAGGGGAACAAUAUGUUAAUUACCCACAGAUUGUGUUUGCUCCAGGCUUUCGGCAUUCUGCCUGCACUGAAUAAAAGCAAGCAGCUCCAGCUUCUGGGGGCUGCACUUUGGCCACUUGAUCCAGGCAGUCCCCUAGCUGCUACACUGCAUACCUGUGUUAUCAAGAACAAAAUGGGGGCUUCUGCACAGCAACUUCAGAAGAUAAGCAGAUUUUCUGGAAAUGGAUUUAGAGCAAGAGAGGAUAUCUAAAAUCAAAGAUAUAUGACACUGCUGGGGCUCAGAAACUGAUAUCCCAAAAUAUUGCACUUUGACAUGCUGAACUGAAGAAGCUACAAGGUCUCUCUGACCUUCUCCCCACCCCUCCUGUCUCUCAAUCCUUUCCGUCUCCCAAAGCACAGGAUGAAGUUGUUUUCAGAAGUUCCUUAUCUGCCUAAAGUCCAAACCUGCCAAAGAAUACAAUUAUCUUUAGUCUCUACUCUGAGUUUUCAUUAAAUGAACUAAUAUCACAGGGAGAAACACAAGCCUGUCAACAAACCUAGAUAGAUUUUGUCACAAACCACUGUCUACUCUGCAGCCCUAACAGACAUUGUCCCAGGCCCUUGCAUGUUCUUCAAGCCCAUUGAAUUCCCCUACAAAUCAUUUAUUAUAUCCCUAAAAACACUUCUCAAGCUCCCAUUUCCCUAGGAAGUAGAAUAAACAUCUAUGUCCAAUUGCAGUAUUGGGUGAUCACUCUAUCCACCCCCCUCUGCAGUGUACACGUUAAUAAUUUCAUAUGCCUUUUAUUAAUUCUGGUCAUUAAUUUAACCUUUUUCUUCUUUGGGGCCCACGUUGAAACCUCUAUUUUCAACUUCUCUUCCAGUUAGGUGUGGCCUUUUAGCUAAGUUCCUGCCAAUGGAACAUAAACACAAGUAAAGAUUGACAUUUCCAGGCCUGGGACAUAAUAACUUUCCACGAAGGAUUUUUCCAUGUUCUUUCCCCUUGCAGGGCAAAUGUAGAAGCCACAUUUAGGAUGGCUAAGCCACAAAGACAGAGGGCAUCUAGGUUCCAGAACCACUGCUAGAAGAAAGAGGGACCUGCUGAUCUAGAAUACCCUUUUUGAACCUCAUAUCCGCAGAAAAUAAACUUGUAUUUAUCUUAACUAGUAUGCUCUGCACCAAAGAAGGGUCUAGAUUCUUAAUUUCUAAAAGGAAAUGCAUUCACUUGUUGCUGGAUGAAUCUUCAGGUCAAAACACUUCAUCUGUAAAAGAAACAUAAGAUUUCAUGGAGAGAAACAAAGCAAAAUGUGGACUUCUUAAGAGUUAACCAGAGGAGAGGAAGCUAUAUUCACAUCUAUCAGCAGUAGAACUUCUGUCCACAGCCUAGUGAUCUUUCAAAUGUGGAUGUGACCAUAAGGAUGAGGUAGUUUCAUUGGAUAUGUUGCCUCUUGGGUCCUCCAUUAGAAAAGCAUAAGGAGGGUUGGAUGCGGUGACUCACAUCUAUAAUUGCAGCACUUUGGGAUGCUGAGGCAGGAGGAUCACUUGAGCCCAGGAGUUCAAGACCAGCCUGGGUAAUAUAACGAGACCUCAUCUCUAUAUUUAAAGAAAAAAAAAUUAAAUAAAAUCAGUAAGGCGGCCGGGGGUGAUGGCUCAUGCCUGUAAUCCAACACUUUGGGAGAGAGAGGUGGGAAGAUUGCUUGAGGCAAGGAGUUUGAGACUUCAGUGAGCUAGGAUCAUGCCACUGCAGUCCAGCCUGGAUAACAGAGCAAGACUGUCUCAAAGAAAAAAAAAAGAAAAAGAAAAGGAAAAGAAAAGAGAAAAGAAAAAUAAGAAAAGAAAAGCUCAAGGAGAAAACAGAGACUCUAUAAUAUUGACAUUGCUCCCCAAAAGUCUCGUAGAAUAAUCUGGGUAAAUUUUGUAAGACACCAGAUAUGUCUUUUUUCCUCUAACUGCACUUAACCAAAAAAGUGAAAGUAAUUGAUAGUCCAUUUUUGACAGUUAUAAUCAUAAAUAAAAUCCCUGGAUCUCAUAUCGGACAAUAGUCUCACUCAAUAUGAAGGAUUAAGAAGAAAUGUGAUCUCUCAAUUUUUUGUCAAGGUUUAUCUAGGGCUCAAAAUCAGUAGCUGGGAACAUGUAUCAUCUUCAUCAUAAUUUAAUUUUGUUUUAUUAUGGAUUCGGCCAUCACAUUAUAACCAUUAUAGAAAUUUUAAUGUGGAGUUCUGUUGCUAGUAGGAGCAGUUUUCUUUGUACUUUGGAGCUCAUCCGUAGAUAUCUAGUAUAAUGAAAUCUCAGAAAAUGUUACAGCAUAUAAAGCCUUGUAAAGAUUACAUUGGUUUCUUUCAUGUGAAAAGUAAAAUGAUAGCAAUUUUGCAGAUCUCUUAUUUUUUAUUUUAAAUAAAUUAUCAUAUAAUAAUACUCUUUCCUUAACUACUGGUAUCCUUGAAUAAGGCGAGCAGUCUUCCAUGGGGUUAGCACUCAUUGCUUAUCUUUUCCUGCCCCUGCCUCUUGAUUCACU